rnacentral:rRNA from 1 species
GACGAACGCUGGCGGCGUGCUUAACACAUGCAAGUCGAGCGGUAAGGCCCUUUCGGGGGUACACGAGCGGCGAACGGGUGAGUAACACGUGGGUGACCUGCCCUCAGCUCUGGGAUAAGCCCGGGAAACUGGGUCUAAUACCGGAUAUGACUCCAUGACGCAUGUUGUGGGGUGGGAAAGCCUUGUGCGGCUGAGGAUGGGCCCGCGGCCUAUCAGCUUGUUGGUGGGGUGAUGGCCACCAAGGCGACGACGGGUAGCCGGCCUGAGAGGGCGACCGGCCACACUGGGACUGAGAUACGGCCCAGACUCCUACGGGAGGCAGCAGUGGGGAAUCUUGCGCAAUGGGCGAAAGCCUGACGCAGCGACGCCGCGUGAGGAA